rnacentral:rRNA from 1 species
CCAGGAAAAGCCUCUAAGCAUCAGGUAACAUGAAAUCGUACCCCAAACCGACACAGGUGGUCAGGUAGAGAAUACUCAGGCGCUUGAGAGAACUCGGGUGAAGGAACUAGGCAAAAUGGUGCCGUAACUUCGGGAGAAGGCACGCUGGCAUUAGGUAAAGGGACUUGCUCCCGGCGCCGAAGCCAGUCGCAGAUACCAGCUGGCUGCAACUGUUUAAUAAAAACACAGCACUGUGCAAACACGAAAGUGGACGUAUACGGUGUGACGCCUGCCCGGUGCUGGAAGGUUAAUUGAUGGGGUCAGCCGCAAGGCGAAGCUCUUGAUCGAAGCCCCAGUAAACGGCGGCCGUAACUAUAACGGUCCUAAGGUAGCGAAAUUCCUUGUCGGGUAAGUUCCGACCUGCACGAAUGGCGUAAUGAUGGCCAGGCUGUCUCCACCCGAGACUCAGUGAAAUUGAACUCGCUGUGAAGAUGCAGUGUACCCGCGGCAAGACGGAAAGACCCCGUGAACCUUUACUAUAGCUUGACACUGAACAUUGAGCCUUGAUGUGUAGGAUAGGUGGGAGGCAU